GUACUUAUUUACAGACAGCUGGCCAGGGACACAGUCCCUGGCAGGUGUGAGAGUCACAAAGGAUUGACUUGGUGCUGAGGCAUAAGCCCUAUUGUUUCUAGGUUGGCCACAGUAGGAGAGGAGCCCUCUAGUUCAGUGAUACCAGCGCUCUCACUGGAAGAAAUGAGGAGGGCCUUUCUCCAUGAAAAUGAGCGUGACAGAAAACUGCAGGUGCCGGAGCCCCAGAGGCCGUUCUGUAAGAAGCAGAAAAAGACAUCACUUGAGACUGAACUUGCAUGAAAAAUGAGGCUGUAUAAGGAAAAUAAAUUCCAACUUUGGAAUUCUCCAGUUUCCCCUAUCUUAGCCUUCAUACUGAUCCUUUAGCAAGAUAGGUGGUUACCAGUGGUUUCACAUUCAGCACUGUCUACAAGAGGUUUUGCCUCUAGAAGUUACAAGGACCAGGGAAUACAUAGGAAGAAACCACGAAGAUAUCUUGGACACAAAUAGAAUUUCAAGUAGGGUGUGUAUGGAUGUCACAUUUGAUAAAAAGGACAAAGUCUUAUUUUACAUAUGUUUUCUAUACUUAGAUUUUGUGCUAAAUUUCAUUGCAAAGCAAAUUGAUUUGUUUGAAAAUAAUCACGAAAUUGAGUGGCACAGAUGUCUGAUUUUAAGCCACAUAUUUUAAAGUGGGUGUGCUUUUGCAGCGUCGCAUAGUCUGCUUGGGACACGUGUGUACAUAUGUGGGCAUCAGUGUCUG
rnacentral:lncRNA from 1 species